UACGUAGGUGGCGAGCGUUGUCCGGAUUUAUUGGGCGUAAAGGAUGCGUAGGCGGUUCUUUAAGUGGGGUGUGAAAUCCCUGGGCUCAACCCAGGAAUUGCACUCCAAACUGGAGGGCUAGAGUGCAGGAGAGGAAAGUGGUAUUCCCAGUGUAGCGGUGAAAUGCGUAGAGAUUGGGAGGAACACCAGUGGCGAAGGCGACUUUCUGGACUGUAACUGACGCUGAGGCAUGAAAGCGUGGGGAGCAAACAGGAUUAGAUACCCUGGUAGUCCACGCCGUAAACGAUGGAUACUAGGUGUGGGGGGCGAAGCCCUCUGUGCCGCAGUUAACACAUUAAGUAUCCCGCCUGGGAAGUACGAUCGCAAGAUUAAA
rnacentral:rRNA from 1 species